rnacentral:rRNA from 1 species
UACGGAGGGGGCGAGCGUUAUUCGGAAUUAUUGGGCGUAAAGGGCGCGUAGGCGGCUUUGUAAGUCAAAGGUGAAAUCCCUCGGCUCAACUGAGGAACUGCCUUUGAAGCUGCGGAGCUUGAGGCCGGGAGGGGGUAGCGGAAUUCCCAAUGUAGCGGUGAAAUGCGUAGAUAUUGGGAGGAACACCAGUGGCGAAGGCGGCUACCUGGACCGGUACUGACGCUGAUGCGCGAAAGCGUGGGUAGCAAACAGG